rnacentral:tRNA from 2 species
GGGUUGCUAGCUCAACUGGUUUAGAGCACUGGUCUUUUAAACCAUAGGUUACAGGUUCGAGUCCUGUGCAACCCA